rfam:Ictidomys tridecemlineatus contig063400, whole genome shotgun sequence.
GAGGGUAUAGCUCAGUGGUAGAGCAUGUGCUUUGCAUGCACAAGGCCCUGUGUUCGAUCCUACCACCA